AGACCAGCAGGAAACGCAUCGUUUGGAGGGAAAGAGAAACCAUUGUCCAUCAUAGGCGGCUCAGAUUCAAGAGUCAAGAAAAAAAACUCAUGAUAAGGGCGUGAGUCGAGUGAGAUAUAGAAGGAAGGAGAGAAAGAGAGACAGAGAGAGAGAAAGGGCCUUGAAGAAAAGAAAAUGGUGGUUCUUGAAGAAGCAGAGAAUGUUUAAGCGGAGUGAGGUAGUGAAGUGAGAGACUACUUCUUGAAGAAGGCAAGGAGUCAAAAGUGGAAAAGUACGUAAUUGACGAAGACCAUAAGAAAGUUAGUGGAAAGUUCAAUUAAUUACGAUGGAAUUUGGAAAACAAACGCCAUGAUCUCGGAACAGUAGUCCUCAUCUUUAAAUCAGCGACAUUUGCUCCGUUGCUUGGAGUAAAGGGGCUUUUGGUGAUCCUUGGAGCAGAGAUGAACGAAUUGAUUUAGAGCAUGUAAAUAAACAGAUUCUCAAACUAAAAUAAAUUGAAAUUGACAAUUUAUCAAG
rnacentral:misc_RNA from 1 species